rnacentral:rRNA from 1 species
CAGUAGCCGCGGGAAUACAGAGGGUGCGAGCGUUAAUCGGAUUUACUGGGCGUAAAGCGUGCGUAGGCGGCUUUUUAAGUCGGAUGUGAAAUCCCCGGGCUUAACCUGGGAACUGCAUUUGAAACUGGCAGGCUAGAGUCUUGUAGAGGGGGGUAGAAUUCCAGGUGUAGCGGUGAAAUGCGUAGAGAUCUGGAGGAAUACCGGUGGCGAAGGCGGCCCCCUGGACAAAGACUGACGCUCAGGUGCGAAAGCGUGGGGAGCAAACAGGAUUAGAUACCCCGGUAGUCCCUGUCUCUUAUAC